AUUGAACGCUGGCGGCAGGCCUAACACAUGCAAGUCGAGCGGAUGAAGGGAGCUUGCUCCUGGAUUCAGCGGCGGACGGGUGAGUAAUGCCUAGGAAUCUGCCUGGUAGUGGGGGAUGACGUCCGGAAACGGGCGCUAAUACCGCAUACGUCCUGAGGGAGAAAGUGGGGGAUCUUCGGACCUCACGCUAUCAGAUGAGCCUAGGUCGGAUUAGCUAGUUGGUGGGGUAAAGGCCUACCAACGCGACGAUCCGUAACUGGUCUGAGAGGAUGAUCAGUCACACUGGAACUGAGGCACGGUCCAGACGCCUAAGAGAGGCAGCAAUUGGGAAUAUUGGACAAUGGAGGAAUGCCUGAUCCGGCACUCUCGCGUGUAUGAAGAAGGUCUUCAGAUUGUGAAGGGCAAUAAGUUGGGAGGAAAGGCAGUAAGUUAAUACCUUGCUGUUUUGACGUUACCAACAGAAUAAGCACCGGCUAACUUCGUG
rnacentral:rRNA from 1 species